UAAUACAGAGGGUGCGAGCGUUAAUCGGAAUUACUGGGCGUAAAGGGCGCGUAGGCGGUGAGAUGAGUGUGAUGUGAAAGCCCUGGGCUUAACCUGGGAAGUGCAUCGCAAACGAUUUGACUGGAGUAUAAGAGAGGGUGGCGGAAUUUCCGGUGUAGCGGUGAAAUGCGUAGAGAUCGGAAGGAACGUCGAUGGCGAAGGCAGCCACCUGGCUUGAUACUGACGCUGAGGCGCGAAAGCGUGGGUAGCGAACAGGAUUAGAUACCCUGGUAGUCCACGCUGUAAACGAUGAGGACUAGAUGUUGGUAGGGGAACCUAUCGGUAUCGAAGCAAACGCGAUAAGUCUUCCGCCUGGGAAGUACGGCCGCAAGGUUG
rnacentral:rRNA from 1 species